UACUAUGUAGUUGUGCAUAUCGACAGGAAAUUACGAUUCAAUUCUUUUUCUAGGAGUUACGCCCCUUUGAACUAAUUUACUUUAAUGUACUACUGCAACAGUUUGUCAUCGCAACUCCUCUCAAACCACACAACAGAAUUUCAUGAAACCUUUUCAGAUAAUAAGGACAUACUAUGUAGUUGUGCAUAUCGACAGGAAAUUACGAUUCAAUUUUUUUUCCAGGAGUUAAUUACGCCCCUUUGAACUUAUUUGCCCAAUAUACUACUGCAACCUUUUGUCAUCGCAACUCCUCUCAAACCACACAACAGAAUUUCAUGAAACUGUGUAGAUAAUAAGGACAUACUAUGUAGAUGUGCAUAUUGACAGGAAAUUAUGAUUCAAUUUUUUUUUCUGAUACAAUUUUUUUUUCUUACACUUAUUUUAUUUCUCCACUGACAAUGUGGGGACGUGGGGUAUGUGAGCGCGCUCACUAAGGUUCUUUCAUUA